rnacentral:misc_RNA from 1 species
AGUCGUAACAAGGUCUCCGUAGGUGAACCUGCGGAGGGAUCAUUACUGAGUGUGGGCUCCGGCCCUACCUCCAACCCCAUGUCGAAACGACUCUGUUGCCUCGGGGGCGACCCGGCCUUCGGGCGUCGGGGCCCCCGGUGGACACCUUCAUAACUCUUGCAUCUCUUGCGUCUGAGUGAUACAUAUAAUCAAUCAAAACUUUCAACAACGGAUCUCUUGGUUCUGGCAUCGAUGAAGAACGCAGCGAAAUGCGAUAAGUAAUGUGAAUUGCAGAAUUCAGUGAAUCAUCGAAUCUUUGAACGCACAUUGCGCCCCCUGGCAUUCCGGGGGGCAUGCCUGUUCGAGCGUCAUUACACCACUCAAGCCUGGCUUGGUAUUGAGCGCCGCGGCCUGCCCGCGCGCUCCAAUGUCUCCGGCUGAGCCGUCCGUCUCUAAGCGUUGUGAAUAGCGAUCGCUUGCGAGGCCCGGGCGGUUCGACGCCGUUAAACCCCCCAUUUUCUAUGGUUGACCUCGGAUCAGGUAGGGAUACCCGCUGAACUUAAGCAUAUCAAUAAAGCGGAGGA